UUGUUGUUAAACCCAUGAAAUUUAAUUGAAUUGUGUGAACGAUGAAAACGUUGUUGUUAAACCUAUGCAAUUUGAUUAAAUUGUGUGAAUGAUGAAAACGUUGUUGUUAAACUCAUGAAAUUUAAUUGAAUUGUGUGAAUGAUGAAGAAAAUGUUGUUGUUAAACCUAUGAAAUUUGGUUCAAUUGUGUGAAUGAUGAAAAUGUUGAUGUUAAACCCAUGAACUUUGAUUGAAUUGUGUAAAUGAUGAAAACGUUGUUGUUAAACCUAUGAAAUUUGGUUGAAUUGUGCGAACGAUGAAAACGUUGUUGUUAAACCUAUGCAAUUUGACUAAAUUGUGUGAAUGAUGAAAAUGUUGUUGUUAAACCCAUGAAAUUUAAUUGAAUAGUGUGAACGAUGAAAACGUUGAUGUUAAACCUAUGAAAUUUGGUUCAAUUGUGCGAAUGAUGAAAAUGUUGAUGUUAAACCCAUGAACUUUGAUUGAAUUGUGUGAUGAUGAAAACGUUGUUGUUAAACCUGUGAAAUUUGAUUGAAUUGUGUGAAUGAUGAAAAUGUAGUUGUUAAACCUAUGAAAUUUGGUUCAAUUGUGUGAACGAUGAAAACGUUGUUGUUAAACCCAUGAACUUUGAUUCAAUUGUGUGAAUGAUGAAAAUGUUGAUGUUAAACCCAUGAAAUUUGGUUGAAUUGUGCGAAUGAUGAAAACGUUUUGUUAAACCUGUGCAAUUUGGUUGAAUUGUGCGAAUGAUGAAGAUGUUGUUGUUAAACCUGUGCAAUUUGAUUAAAUUGUGUGAACGAUGAAAAUGUAGUUGUUAAACCCAUGAAAUUUGGUUCAAUUGUGUGAACGAUGAAAACGUUGAUGUUAAACCCAUGAACUUUGAUUCAAUUGUGUGAAUGAUGAAAAUGUUUUGUUAAACCCGUGAAAUUUGGUUGAAUUGUGCGAAUGAUGAAAACGUUGUUGUUAAACCUAUGAAAUUUGGUUGAAUUGUGCGAAUGAUGAAAAUGUUGUUGUUAAACCCAUGAAAUUUGGUUCAAUUGUGUGAAUGAUGAAAAUGUUGAUGUUAAACCCAUGAACUUUGGUUGAAUUGUGUGAAUGAUGAAAAUGUUGUUAAACCCAUGAAAUUUGGUUGAAUUGUGCGAAGGAUGAAGAUGUUUUGUUAAACCUGUGCAAUUUGAUUAAAUUGUGUGAUGAUGAAAAUGUAGUUGUUAAACCCAUGAAAUUUGAUUAAAUUGUGUGAAUGAUGAAAAUGUAGUUGUUUAGGGUUUAGGGUUUAGGGUUUAGGGUUUAGCGUUUAGGGUUUAGGGUUUUUUUAGGGUUUUUUAGGGUUUAGGGUUUAGGGUUUAGGGUUUUUUUAGGGUUUAGGGUUUAGGGUUUAGGGUUUAGGGUUUAGGGUUUAGGGUUUUUUUAGGGUUUAGGGUUUAGGGUUUAGGGUUUAGGGUUUAGGGUUUAGGGUUUUUUAGGGUUUAGGGUUUAGGGUUUAGGGUUUUUUUAGGGUUUAGGGUUUAGGGUUUAGGGUUUUUUUAGGGUUUAGGGUUCAGGGUUUAGGGUUUAGGGUUUAGGGUUUAGGGUUUAGGGUUCAGGGUUCAGGGUUCAGGGUUUAGGGUUUAGGGUUUAGGGUUUUUUUAGGGUUCAGGGUUCAGGGUUCAGGGUUCAGGGUUCAGGGUUCAGGGUUCAGGGUUCAGGGUUUAGGGUUUUUUUAGGGUUCAGGGUUCAGGGUUAGGGUUUAGGGUUUAGGGUUUAGNAUGUUGUUGUUAAACCUAUGGAAUUUGAUUGAAUUGUGUGAAUGAUGAAAACGUUGUUGUUAAACCCAUGAAAUUUGAUUGAAUUGUGUGAAUAAUGAAAAUGUUGAUGUUAAACCUAUGAAAUUUGUUUCAAUUGUGUGAAUGAUGAAAAUGUUGUGGUUAAACCCAUGAACUUUGAUUGAAUUGUGUGAAUGAUGAAAACGUUGAUGUUAAACCUAUGAAAUUUGGUUGAAUUGUGCGAAUAAUGAAAAUGUUGUUGUUAAACCUAUGAAAUUUGGUUCAAUUGUGUGAAUGAUGAAAAUGUUGUUGUUAAACCCAUGAACUUUGAUUGAAUUGUGUGAAUGCUGAAAACAUUGAUGUUAAACCCAUGAAAUUUGGUUGAAUUGUGCGAAUGUUGAAAACAUUGGUAAACCUAUGAAAUUUGAUUGAAUUGUGUGAAUGAUGAAGAUGUUUUGUUAAACCUGUGCAAUUUGAUUGAAUUGUGUGAUGAUGAAAAUGUAGUUGUUAAACCCAUGAAAUUUGAUUGAAUUGUGUGAAGGAUGAAAACGUUGAUGUUAAACCCAUGAAAUUUGAUUGAAUUAUGUGAAUGAUAAAAAUGUUGUUGUUAAACCUAUGAAAUUUGAUUGAAUUGUGUGAAUGAUGAAAAUGUUGUUGUUAAACCCAUGAAAUUUGAUUGAAUUGUGUGAAUGAUGAAAACGUUGAUGUUAAACCUAUGAAAUUCGAAUGAAUUGUGCGUGUGAUGAAGAAAAUGUUAUUGUCAAACCUAUGAAAUUUGAUUGAAUUGUGUGAAUGAUGAAAAUGUUGUUGUUAAACCCAUGAAAUUUGAUUGAAUUUUGUGAAUGAUGAAAAUGUUGUUGUUAAACCCAUGAAAUUUGAUUGAAUUGUGUGAAUAAUGAAAAUGUUGUUGUUAAAUCUAUGAAAUUUGAUUGAAUUGUGUGAAUGAUGAAAAUGUUGUUGUUAAACCCAUGAACUUUGAUUGAAUUGUGUGAAGGAUGAAAGGUUGUUGUUAAACCCAUGAAAUUUGAUUAAAUUGUGUGAAUAAUGAAAAUGUUGAUGUUAAAGCUAUGAAAUUUGAUUCAAUUGUGUGAAUGAUAAAAAUGUUGUUGUUAAACCCAUGAACUUUGAUUGAAUUGUGUGAAUGAUAAAAACGUUGAUGUUAAACCUAUGAAAUUUGGUUGAAUUGUGCGAAUAAUGAAAAUGUUGAUGUUAAACCUAUGAAAUUUGAUUCAAUUGUCUGAAUGGUGAAGAUGUUGUUGUUAAACCUAUGAAAUUUGAUUGAAUUGUGUGAAUGAUGAAAACGUUGAUGUUAAACCUAUGAAAUUUGAUUGAAUUGUGCGAAUAAUGAAAAAAAAGUUGUUAAACCUAUGAAAUUUGAUUGAAUUGUGUGAAUGAUGAAGAAAAUGUUGAUGUUAAACCUAUGAAAUUUGAUUGAAUUUGUGAAUGAUGAAAAUGUUGUUGUUAAACCCAUGAAAUUUGAUUGAAUUGUGUGAAUGAUGAAAAUGUUGUUGUUAAACCCAUGAAAUUUGAUUGAAUUGUGUGAAUGAUGAAAAUGUUGUUGUUAAACCCAUGAAAUUUGAUUGAAUUGUGUGAAUGAUGAAAAUGUUGUUGUUAAACCCAUGAAAUUUGAUUGAAUUGUGUGAAUGAUGAAAAUGUUGUUGUUAAACCCAUGAAAUUUGAUUGAAUUGUGUGAAUGAUGAAAAUGUUGUUGUUAAACCCAUGAAAUUUGAUUGAAUUGUGUGAAUGAUGAAAAUGUUGUUGUUAAACCCAUGAAAUUUGAUUGAAUUGUGUGAAUGAUGAAAAUGUUGUUGUUAAACCCAUGAAAUUUGAUUGAAUUGUGUGAAUGAUGAAAAUGUUGUUGUUAAACCCAUGAAAUUUGAUUGAAUUGUGUGAAUGAUGAAAAUGUUGUUGUUAAACCCAUGAAAUUUGAUUGAAUUGUGUGAAUGAUGAAAAUGUUGUUGUUAAACCCAUGAAAUUUGAUUGAAUUGUGUGAAUGAUGAAAAUGUUGUUGUUAAACCCAUGAAAUUUGAUUGAAUUGUGUGAAUGAUGAAAAUGUUGUUGUUAAACCCAUGAAAUUUGAUUGAAUUGUGUGAAUGAUGAAAAUGUUGUUGUUAAACCCAUGAAAUUUGAUUGAAUUGUGUGAAUGAUGAAAAUGUUGUUGUUAAACCCAUGAAAUUUGAUUGAAUUGUGUGAAUGAUGAAAAUGUUGUUGUUAAACCCAUGAAAUUUGAUUGAAUUGUGUGAAUGAUGAAAAUGUUGUUGUUAAACCCAUGAAAUUUGAUUGAAUUGUGUGAAUGAUGAAAAUGUUGUUGUUAAACCCAUGAAAUUUGAUUGAAUUGUGUGAAUGAUGAAAAUGUUGUUGUUAAACCCAUGAAAUUUGAUUGAAUUGUGUGAAUGAUGAAAAUGUUGUUGUUAAACCCAUGAAAUUUGAUUGAAUUGUGUGAAUGAUGAAAAUGUUGUUGUUAAACCCAUGAAAUUUGAUUGAAUUGUGUGAAUGAUGAAAAUGUUGUUGUUAAACCCAUGAAAUUUGAUUGAAUUGUGUGAAUGAUGAAAAUGUUGUUGUUAAACCCAUGAAAUUUGAUUGAAUUGUGUGAAUGAUGAAAAUGUUGUUGUUAAACCCAUGAAAUUUGAUUGAAUUGUGUGAAUGAUGAAAAUGUUGUUGUUAAACCCAUGAAAUUUGAUUGAAUUGUGUGAAUGAUGAAAAUGUUGUUGUUAAACCCAUGAAAUUUGAUUGAAUUGUGUGAAUGAUGAAAAUGUUGUUGUUAAACCCAUGAAAUUUGAUUGAAUUGUGUGAAUGAUGAAAAUGUUGUUGUUAAACCCAUGAAAUUUGAUUGAAUUGUGUGAAUGAUGAAAAUGUUGUUGUUAAACCCAUGAAAUUUGAUUGAAUUGUGUGAAUGAUGAAAAUGUUGUUGUUAAACCCAUGAAAUUUGAUUGAAUUGUGUGAAUGAUGAAAAUGUUGUUGUUAAACCCAUGAAAUUUGAUUGAAUUGUGUGAAUGAUGAAAAUGUUGUUGUUAAACCCAUGAAAUUUGAUUGAAUUGUGUGAAUGAUGAAAAUGUUGUUGUUAAACCCAUGAAAUUUGAUUGAAUUGUGUGAAUGAUGAAAAUGUUGUUGUUAAACCCAUGAAAUUUGAUUGAAUUGUGUGAAUGAUGAAAAUGUUGUUGUUAAACCCAUGAAAUUUGAUUGAAUUGUGUGAAUGAUGAAAAUGUUGUUGUUAAACCCAUGAAAUUUGAUUGAAUUGUGUGAAUGAUGAAAAUGUUGUUGUUAAACCCAUGAAAUUUGAUUGAAUUGUGUGAAUGAUGAAAAUGUUGUUGUUAAACCCAUGAAAUUUGAUUGAAUUGUGUGAAUGAUGAAAAUGUUGUUGUUAAACCCAUGAAAUUUGAUUGAAUUGUGUGAAUGAUGAAAAUGUUGUUGUUAAACCCAUGAAAUUUGAUUGAAUUGUGUGAAUGAUGAAAAUGUUGUUGUUAAACCCAUGAAAUUUGAUUGAAUUGUGUGAAUGAUGAAAAUGUUGUUGUUAAACCCAUGAAAUUUGAUUGAAUUGUGUGAAUGAUGAAAAUGUUGUUGUUAAACCCAUGAAAUUUGAUUGAAUUGUGUGAAUGAUGAAAAUGUUGUUGUUAAACCUAUGAAAUUUGAUUGAAUUGUGUGAAUGAUGAAAAUGUUGUUGUUAAACCCAUGAACUUUGAUUGUAUUGUGUGAAUGAUGAAAACGUUGAUGUUAAACCUAUGAAAUUUGGUUGAAUUGUGCGAAUGAUGAAGAAAACGUUGUUGUUAAACCUAAGAAAUUUGAUUGAAUUAUGCGAAUGAUGAAGAUGUUGUUCCUAAACCCUUGAAAUUUUAUUGAAUUGUGUGAAUGAUGAAGAUGUUGUUGUUAAACCUAUGAAAUUUGAUUGAAUUGUGUGAUGAUGAAAAUGUUGGUGUUAAACCCAUGAAAUUUGAAUGAAUUGUGUGAAUGAAGAAAACGUUGAUGUUAAACCUAUGAAAUUUGAUUGAAUCGUAUGAAUGAUGAAAAUGUUGUUAUUAAACCCAUGAAAUUUGAUUGAAUUUUGUGAAUGAUGCAAAUGUUGCUGUUAAACCCAUGAAAUUUGAUUGAUUUGUGUGAAUAAUGAAAAUGUUGUUGUAAAUUUAUGAAUUUUGAUUGAAUUGUGUGAAUGAUGAAAAUGUUGUUGUUAAACCCAUGAACUUUGAUUGAAUUNNNNNNNNNNNNNNNNNNNNNNNNNNNNNNNNNNUGUUAAACCUAUGAAAUUUGGUUCAAUUGUGUGAAUGAUGAAAAUGUUGUUGUUAAACCCAUGAACUUUGAUUGAAUUGUGUGAAUGAUGAAAACGUUGAUGUUAAACCUAUGAAAUUUGGUUGAAUUGUGCGAUUAAUGAAAAUGUUGUUGUUAAACCUAUGAAAUUUGGUUCAAUUGUGUGAAUGAUGAGAAUGUUGUUGUUAAACCCAUGAACUUUGAUUGAAUUGUGUGAAUGAUGAAAACAUUGAUGUUAAACCCAUGAAAUUUGGUUGAAUUGUGCGAAUGAUGAAAACGUUGUUAAACCUAUGAAAUUUGAUUGAAUUGUGUAAAUGAUGAAGAUGUUUUGUUAAACCUGUGCAAUUUGAUUGACUUGUGUGAUGAUGAAAAUGUAGUUGUUAAACCCAUGAAAUUUGAUUGAAUUGUGUGAAGGAUGAAAAUGUUGAUGUUAAACCUAUGAAAUUUGAUUGAAUUGUGUGAAUGAUGAAAAUGUUGAUGUUAAACCUAUGCAAUUUGAUUGAAUUUGUGAAUGAUGAAAAUGUUGUUGUUAAACCCAUGAAAUUUGAUUGAAUUGUGUGAAUGAUGAAAAUGUUGUUGUUAAACCCAUGAGAUUUGAUUGAAUUUUGUGAAUGAUGAAAAUGUUGUUGUUAAACCCAUGAAAUUUGAUUGAAUUGUGUGAUGAUGAAAAUGUUGUUGUUAAACCCAUGAACUUUGAUUGAAUUGUGUGAAUAAUGAAAAUGUUGUUGUUAAACCUAUGAUAUUUGAUUGAAUUGAGUGAAUGAUGAAAAUGUUGUUGUUAAACCCAUGAAAUUUGAUUGAAUUGUGUGAAUGAUGAAAACGUUGAUGUUAAACCUAUGAAAAUUGAAUGAAUUAUGCGUAUGAUGAAGAAAAUGUUGUUGUCAAACCUAUGAAAUUUGAUUGAAUUGUGUGAAUGAUGAAAAUGUUGUUGUUAAACCCAUGAAAUUUGAUUGAAUUUUGUGAAUGAUGAAAACGUUGUUGUUAAACCCAUGAAAUUUGAUUAAAUUGUGUGAAUAAUGAAAAUGUUGAUGUUAAACCUAUGAAAUUUGAUUCAAUUGUGUGAAUGAUGAAAAUGUUGUUGUUAAACCCAUGAAAUUUGAUUGAAUUGUGUGAAUGAUGAAAAUGUUGUUGUUAAACCCAUGAAAUUUGAUUGAAUUGUGUGAAUGAUGAAAAUGUUGUUGUUAAACCCAUGAAAUUUGAUUGAAUUGUGUGAAUGAUGAAAAUGUUGUUGUUAAACCCAUGAAAUUUGAUUGAAUUGUGUGAAUGAUGAAAAUGUUGUUGUUAAACCCAUGAAAUUUGAUUGAAUUGUGUGAAUGAUGAAAAUGUUGUUGUUAAACCCAUGAAAUUUGAUUGAAUUGUGUGAAUGAUGAAAAUGUUGUUGUUAAACCCAUGAAAUUUGAUUGAAUUGUGUGAAUGAUGAAAAUGUUGAUGUUAAACCCAUGAAAUUUGAUUGAAUUGUGUGAAUGAUGAAAAUGUUGUUGUUAAACCUACGAAAUUUGAUUGAAUUGUGCGAAUAAUGAAAAAAAUGUUGUUGUUAAACCUAUGAAAUUUGAUUGAAUUGUGUGAAUGAUGAAGAUGUUGUUGUUAAACCUAUGAAAUUUGAUUGAAUUGUGUGAAUGAUGAAAACGUUGAUGUUAAACCUACGAAAUUUGAUUGAAUUGUGCGAAUAAUGAAAAAAAUGUUGUUGUUAAACGUAUGAAAUUUGAUUGAAUUGUGUGACUGAUGAAGAUGUUGUUGUUAAACCUAUGCAAUUUGAUUGAAUUGUGUGAUGAUGAAAAUGUGGUUCUUAAACCCAUGAAAUUUGAUUGAAUUGUGUGAAUAAUGAAAAUGUUGUUGUUAAACCUAUGAAAUUUGAUUGAAUGGUGUGAAUCAUGAAAAUGUUGUUGUUAAACCCAUGAACUUUGAUUGGAUUGUGUGAACGAUGAAAACGUUAUUGUUAAACCCAUGAAAUUUGAUUGAAUUGUGUGAAUAAUGAAAAUGUUGAUGUUAAACCUAUGAAAUUUGAUUCAAUUGUAUGAAUGAUGAAAAUGUUGUUGUUAAACCCAUGAACUUUGAUUGAAUUGUGUGAAUGAUGAAAACGUUGAUGUUAAACCUAUGAAAUUUGAAUGAAUUGUGCGUAUGAUGAAGAAAAUGUUGUUGUCAAACCUAUGAAAUUUGAUUGAAUUGUGUGAAUGAUGAAAAUGUUGUUGUUAAACCCAUGAAAUUUGAUUGAAUUGUGUGAAUGAUGAAAAUGUUGUUGUUAAACCCAUGAAAUUUGAUUGAAUUGUGUGAAUGAUGAAAAUGUUGUUGUUAAACCCAUGAAAUUUGAUUGAAUUGUGUGAAUGAUGAAAAUGUUGUUGUUAAACCCAUGAAAUUUGAUUGAAUUGUGUGAAUGAUGAAAAUGUUGUUGUUAAACCCAUGAAAUUUGAUUGAAUUGUGUGAAUGAUGAAAAUGUUGUUGUUAAACCCAUGAAAUUUGAUUGAAUUGUGUGAAUGAUGAAAAUGUUGUUGUUAAACCCAUGAAAUUUGAUUGAAUUGUGUGAAUGAUGAAAAUGUUGUUGUUAAACCCAUGAAAUUUGAUUGAAUUGUGUGAAUGAUGAAAAUGUUGUUGUUAAACCCAUGAAAUUUGAUUGAAUUGUGUGAAUGAUGAAAAUGUUGUUGUUAAACCCAUGAAAUUUGAUUGAAUUGUGUGAAUGAUGAAAAUGUUGUUGUUAAACCCAUGAAAUUUGAUUGAAUUGUGUGAAUGAUGAAAAUGUUGUUGUUAAACCCAUGAAAUUUGAUUGAAUUGUGUGAAUGAUGAAAAUGUUGUUGUUAAACCCAUGAAAUUUGAUUGAAUUGUGUGAAUGAUGAAAAUGUUGUUGUUAAACCCAUGAAAUUUGAUUGAAUUGUGUGAAUGAUGAAAAUGUUGUUGUUAAACCCAUGAAAUUUGAUUGAAUUGUGUGAAUGAUGAAAAUGUUGUUGUUAAACCCAUGAAAUUUGAUUGAAUUGUGUGAAUGAUGAAAAUGUUGUUGUUAAACCCAUGAAAUUUGAUUGAAUUGUGUGAAUGAUGAAAAUGUUGUUGUUAAACCCAUGAAAUUUGAUUGAAUUGUGUGAAUGAUGAAAAUGUUGUUGUUAAACCCAUGAAAUUUGAUUGAAUUGUGUGAAUGAUGAAAAUGUUGUUGUUAAACCCAUGAAAUUUGAUUGAAUUGUGUGAAUGAUGAAAAUGUUGUUGUUAAACCCAUGAAAUUUGAUUGAAUUGUGUGAAUGAUGAAAAUGUUGUUGUUAAACCCAUGAAAUUUGAUUGAAUUGUGUGAAUGAUGAAAAUGUUGUUGUUAAACCCAUGAAAUUUGAUUGAAUUGUGUGAAUGAUGAAAAUGUUGUUGUUAAACCCAUGAAAUUUGAUUGAAUUGUGUGAAUGAUGAAAAUGUUGUUGUUAAACCCAUGAAAUUUGAUUGAAUUGUGUGAAUGAUGAAAAUGUUGUUGUUAAACCCAUGAAAUUUGAUUGAAUUGUGUGAAUGAUGAAAAUGUUGAUGUUAAACCCAUGAAAUUUGAUUGAAUUGUGUGAAUGAUGAAAUUGUUGUUGUUAAACCCAUGAAAUUUGAUUGAAUUGUGUGAAUGAUGAAAAUGUUGUUGUUAAACCCAUGAAAUUUGAUUGAAUUGUGUGAAUGAUGAAAAUGUUGUUGUUAAACCCAUGAAAUUUGAUUGAAUUGUGUGAAUGAUGAAAAUGUUGUUGUUAAACCCAUGAAAUUUGAUUGAAUUGUGUGAAUGAUGAAAAUGUUGUUGUUAAACCCAUGAAAUUUGAUUGAAUUGUGUGAAUGAUGAAAAUGUUGUUGUUAAACCCAUGAAAUUUGAUUGAAUUGUGUGAAUGAUGAAAAUGUUGUUGUUAAACCCAUGAAAUUUGAUUGAAUUGUGUGAAUGAUGAAAAUGUUGUUGUUAAACCCAUGAAAUUUGAUUGAAUUGUGUGAAUGAUGAAAAUGUUGUUGUUAAACCCAUGAAAUUUGAUUGAAUUGUGUGAAUGAUGAAAAUGUUGUUGUUAAACCCAUGAAAUUUGAUUGAAUUGUGUGAAUGAUGAAAAUGUUGUUGUUAAACCCAUGAAAUUUGAUUGAAUUGUGUGAAUGAUGAAAAUGUUGUUGUUAAACCCAUGAAAUUUGAUUGAAUUGUGUGAAUGAUGAAAAUGUUGUUGUUAAACCCAUGAAAUUUGAUUGAAUUGUGUGAAUGAUGAAAUUGUUGUUGUUAAACCCAUGAAAUUUGAUUGAAUUGUGUGAAUGAUGAAAAUGUUGUUGUUAAACCCAUGAAAUUUGAUUGAAUUGUGUGAAUGAUGAAAAUGUUGUUGUUAAACCCAUGAAAUUUGAUUGAAUUGUGUGAAUGAUGAAAAUGUUGUUGUUAAACCCAUGAAAUUUGAUUGAAUUGUGUGAAUGAUGAAAAUGUUGUUGUUAAACCCAUGAAAUUUGAUUGAAUCGUGUGAAUGAUGAAAACGUUGUUGUUAAACCCAUGAAAUUUGACUGAAUUGUGCGAAUGAUGAAGAAAAUGUUGUUGUUAUACCUAUGAAAUUUGAUGGAAUUGUGUGAAUGAUGAAAAUGUUGUUGUUAAACCCAUGAAAUUUGACUAAAUUUUGUGAAUGAUGAAAAUGUUGUUGUUAAACCCAUAAAAUUUAAUUGAAUUGUGUUAACGAUGAAAACGUUGUCGUUAAACCUAUGAAAUUUGAUUGAAUUGUGUGAAUGAUGAAAAUGUUGUUGUUAAACCCAUGAAAUUUAAUUGAAUUGUGUGAACGAUGAAAACGUUGUUGUUAAACCCAUGAAAUUUGAUUGAAGUGUGUGAAUAAUGAAAAUGUUGAUGUUAAACCUAUGAAAUUUGGUUCAAUUGUGUGAAUGAUGAAAAUGUUGUUGUUAAACCCAUGAACUUUGAUUGAAUUGUGUGAAUGAUGAAAACAUUGAUGUUAAACCUAUGAAAUUUGGUUCAAUUGUGCGAAUAAUGAAAAUGUUGUUGUUAAACUUAUGAAAUUUGGUUCAAUUGUGUGAAUGAUGAAAAUGUUGUUGUAAACCCAUGAACUUUGAUUGAAUUGUGUGAAUGAUGAAAACAUUGAUGUUAAACCCAUGAAAUUUGGUUGAAUUGUUCGAAUGAUGAAAACGUUGUUAAACCUAUGAAAUUUGAUUGAAUUGUGUGAAUGAUGAAGAUGUUUUGUUAAACCUGUAAAAUUUGAUUGAAUUGUGUGAUGAUGAAAAUGCAGUUGUUAAACCCAUGAAAUUUGAUUGAAUUGUGUGAAGGAUGAAAACGUUGAUGUUAAACCUAUGAAAUUUGAUUGAAUCGUGUGAAUGAUGAAAAUGUUGAUGUUAAAACUAUGCAAUUUGAUUGAAUUUGUGAAUGAUGAAAAUUAUGUUGUUAAACCCAUGAAAUUUGAUUGAAUUGUGUGAAUGAUGCAAAAUGUUGAUGUUAAACCUAUGAGAUUUGAUUGAAUUGUGUGAAUGAUGAAAAUGUUGUUGUUAAACCCAUGAGAUUUGAUUGAAUUGUGUGAAUGAUGAAAAUGUUGUUGUUAAACCCAUGAAAUUUGAUUGAAUUGUGUGAAUGAUGAAAAUGUUGUUGUUAAACCUAUGAGAUUUGAUUGAAUUGUGUGAAUGAUGAAAAUGUUGUUGUUAAACCCAUGAAAUUUGAUUGAAUUGUGUGAAUGAUGAAAAU
rnacentral:lncRNA from 1 species